rnacentral:sRNA from 1 species
UAUCAAUAAGAAAUGCCAGUUGGAUCUGUGACAUGUCUGCCCGCAGCUGGAUGGGAGCAACUGACAGCUUGUCCUCCGAAUGUGUUUUCUGUGUGUGUGCAAGCGCGUGUGUUCCAAACGGGCAGUAGCGUGUGGGAAGGAAAAAGCCUGACACUUGUUUUUAUCAAUUUGCUGAUGCUCAGUCCCAGCGGCUGCCUCCUUUGCCCCCAGCUGCUCUGCUAUUUCUCUCUUUCCAAUCCUGCGCGAUCCUGAGCAGAGAUAAAAGAUUUCUGCUUCUGCUCCCAGAUCCAGGCGCAGACCCUGCAGGCAGCUGCUCCCGAUGUCUCACAGCUAUUAGUCUUCAAAAGCCCCCCGUGCCUCUGUGCACACGCGCCUCUCCUCCCCAGCCAGCCCCCCUCCCAGCCCAGCGGCGAUGUCUCUGCCUGGCUGGCCCGUGCCCUUGACUUCCAGGCAGUAGGAGAUGGAGUUCUCUAGACAGCAGCACUUCAGCCGCCACUCCGCCUCUGAAGGGAAGGAAGGGAAAGGGGUGCUGGCUACUGUGAAAUAACAGAGUCCAAAAGCAAGGCGUCCAGAGUCAGAGCUCCUGGGUUUGAACCUUGUUCCACCAGCACACCCUACCUCUGUGGCCUGGAGCUGGGCGACCAGUAGUUCUGCGACAGAUCAGAGGAUGGCAGAGGGUGGCAUUGCUGGGGUGGGGAAGCCCCCUGUAAGCCUGUACUGGAGAAGACCACCACUGCCUCUCUGUGCCCAGAACCGUGUCCCAACCUCCAGUGGUGGCCUCGACCUGGACAGCGCCACUCCCAGCUGGCUCUGCUUCCGGAAUGAACCUCAGCUCCUUGACAAGACGGGAGGUGCUGCCCUGCUGUGUCCUUCAGCUCCUACUUAAUGGAAGCCUCGCAGAUGCAAGAUGGCUCCAGCAGGCCCAGCAUCACUUCUUCUCAGUGUCCCAAAGCCAGAAGAGAGGCUGUUGUUUUUAAAAGCAGGAAAACUUUCCUAAACUUGGCCAGAAUUGCAUCACAGACCCUUUCCCAAAACAAUUUCCAGCAAAGGGAAUAGACUUACCAUGUCUGGUACAGAUGAAUCAAGAUUUGCCCCUGGGGGCUAGGGAGGGGCUUGCCUCUGCUGAAGUAGACCCUUGCCCAGCAGCUGAACGGAGCCUAGGUUCACCAGAUGGAGGAAGAGACUGGCCGCUAACAGUGCCUGACAUACAGAUGUGCUUCCUGUGAUAUCGCUGCUGCCACUGUUCCAAAUGUAAGCAGUCAGCUGCCUGGGAUACUACCUACCUUCUUUUGUGUUCUUAUUAAUAAAAUUAAAGAUUGCUUUCUGGGUAGAGAAAUU